UACAGAGGUGGCAAGCGUUGUUCGGAAUUACUGGGCGUAAAGGGCGCGUAGGCGGUUCGUUAAGUCCUGUGUGAAAUCCCCCGGCUCAACUGGGGAACUGCACAGGAAACUAGCGGGCUUGAGUUCGGGAGAGGGAAGCGGAAUUCCGGGUGUAGCGGUGAAAUGCGUAGAUAUCCGGAGGAACACCGGUGGCGAAGGCGGCUUCCUGGACCGACACUGACGCUGAGGCGCGAAAGCUAG
rnacentral:rRNA from 1 species